rnacentral:rRNA from 1 species
GUCUACAGCCAUACCACCCUAAACACGCCCGAUCUCAUCUGAUCGCGGAAGCUAAGCAGGGUCGGGCCUGGUUAAUACUUGGAUGGGAGAGAAUAAAUUGUGAGACC